CUGCCCUGGCACAGCCUCCCCGAGCCCUGCCCUCCACGCUUCUCCAGGGGCGCUGACACCGAGUGCUGUGCUGUGGCCAGAGAGCCGUGAAUAAACCCAACCUGUGGGAGCUGUGUCACCAACCUGGCUGUCCCAAUUUUGUGAAGUCCUUGGAUGAAUUUGCUGCAGGGUGGAGGCCGGGCCGAAGGACUCUUGAAGGAACAGAGGAAAUAAAAGGGCAAAACAUCAGGCUAAAAGUCCAAACGUUUGGUCUCAAAUCACUGACUGAAGGUAGUACCAGUCUGCUGGUAUCUGUCCUGAGACACAAGAAAAACAAGGAGCUGAACAUCAGAGGCCAACCCAUUGAAAAAUCACAAAUCCAGUCACAAAAGGAAAAGCCUGAAUGAGCCCAGAUCAGCAGGACCUAAGAGGACAGAGGGAGCACUUUGGAUCCAUUCCUUAGCCAAGCUGGUGCAGCCUGCAGGCCUCGUGGGGAGCUCUUUCCCUCCCAGCUCUUUCUGCCAGAGCUGAUGGUCGAGUUGGAGCCGCUGUUGCUCACUGCAGAGGGCAGUUUGUAGGUCCCAGAUUCCAUCUGAUCGACCUCUCCAAGAGGGCUGUCCUGCAUGGGAGGAAGAGACAGAGGGAGAGCCUGUGAUCAUUAGGCGGGUGCAAUCCCUCUGUCUCUAGUUGCAUUUAUAGAGGUGUAGUUAUAUUCAUAGAUUUAUGUAGUUGAAUUUAAAUGUCUAGAUAGUUGUAGUUACAGAUCUGAGUAGUUAAAUAUAUAUUUGUAGUUGUAGAUGUAUAAAGUUAUUUUUUAUAUAUGUAGUUGCAUUUAAAGAUGUGAAGUUACAUUUAUAUAUGUAUAUAGUUAUAAAUGGGCAUAGUUAUAUUUAUAUAGCUAUAGGUAUAUGGAGCUUUAGAUAGAUUGAUAGAUAUUUGAAUAAAUACAGGCUGCUUUUUAAGCUCUUUCUCUACUCUGCUUCGUCUCUCACCUCUUGCUUUUGCCUCUGUGCCCCCUCUGUCCCCUCUUCCUGUGCUGGCUCCGAGCUGGCGGCCGGGCCGGGCGGAGCAGCAGCUGCAGCCCCGGUGUCCCUGGAGCGGUGGGAGCUGCCGGUGGCCGCAGGCACUGUGCCCUGAGGAGCUGCUGGAGGACGCUGCCCUGAGGUCCUUGAGAAGAGCCGGAGAGUGACGGGAGCCAGCAGGGAGAAGCUGAAGGCCGCCAGCAAGAGCAGCGAACGGGGACCUGCUGCUGCUGCCGCCCGAGACCCUGGGUGUCCCAUCUGCUGUCCCUGUCCAGGAGAGCUGCUCUGCGCGGGAGGAAGCGACAGAGGGAGAGGCUUUGAAGAUGGGGCGGCUGGAAUCCCUCUGCUUAUAGUUCUGCUUAUAGAUGAAUGGACUUGCAUGUAGAGCGUGAUAAUAUUAUUGAUAUUUACGUAUGUGCUAUUUGCAUAGGUAUAUUUCUAUGUGUAUGUUGUUACAUGAAUGGAUGUAGUUUCUAUAUAUGAAUGUGUAGAUAUAUACAUACAUGUUUCUCGUUACAUGUAUGUGUAUAUAUGUAUCUAAGUAUAUAUGUAUGUUGUCAUAUCUCUGUCCAGUUCUAUUUCCUGUUUAUACAGUUAUCUAGGUAUCUAUUUCUAGUGAUGUUGUUGUAGGUAUUUGGCUCUUUAAAUAGGUGCAUUGGUA